CAGCCGCCGCGGUAAUACCGGCGGCCCGAGUGGCGGUCACUAUUAUUGGGCUUAAAGCGUCCGUAGCCGGGUUGGGAAGUCCUCCGGGAAAUCUGGCCGCUUAACGGUCAGAAUGCCGGAGGAUACUCCCAGCCUAGGGAGCGGGGGAGGCCGAGGGUAUUCCCGGGGUAGGGGUGGAAUCCUAUAAUCCCGGGAGGACCACCUGUGGCGAAGGCGCUCGGCUGGAACGCGUCCGACGGGGAGGGACGAAGGCCAGGGGAGCAAACCGGAUUAGAUACCCGGGUAGUCCUGGCUGUAAACGAUGCGGACUUUGUGUCGGACAAGCUAUGAGCUUGUCCGGUGCCGGAGGGAAACCGUUAAGUCCGCCGCCUGGGGAGUACGGCCGCAAGGCUGAAACUUAAAGGAAUUGGCGGG
rnacentral:rRNA from 1 species